rnacentral:rRNA from 1 species
UACGUAGGGCGCAAGCGUUGUCCGGAAUUAUUGGGCGUAAAGAGCUCGUAGGCGGCUUGUCACGUCGGAUGUGAAAGCCCGGGGCUUAACCCCGGGUCUGCAUUCGAUACGGGCAGGCUAGAGUGUGGUAGGGGAGAUCGGAAUUCCUGGUGUAGCGGCGAAAUGCGCAGAUAUCAGGAGGAACACCGGUGGCGAAGGCGGAUCUCUGGGCCAUUACUGACGCUGAGGAGCGAAAGCGUGGGGAGCGAACAGG